UAUCUAAUGUGCCCAUGAUGAGCUGCCCAAUGAUUAGAGGGUGUAGUUGGCUCAAGUUCCUGUUCAUCAGGAAGAACCUACUUGCAGCUGCUGCAUUCACAUGUUAUCAACGGGCUUCCUGAGGUCAUAGAUA
rnacentral:snoRNA from 1 species